CCUACCCACUUUGAUGCAUUUUUCAAAUUUCGCCUUGGGGCGGAGUUAUCUUUUCACGGGGCGGGGGAUACUGUGGGGUCACUAACCUUGGUAGGAGUGAUCUGAACACACUCUGGAAUCCCGAGGAGGGUGAAAUAUUUGUGGUUGAUUAUCGCCAGCCACAAAAUCACGUCACUUUGCCGACAGUUCUACUUCUAAUAGUGUUUUUACGCCGUCUGUUUUUCUUUUUUUUUUUUAAGAGCGUCUCUCUGCCACACAAGCAGCACAGCUUUGUAACUAAUUCGAACGCAAACUUGUUCCAUGACUGUUAAAACAACUUAUAAUAGAAACAUACUGCAUAAACAAUCUAGAAUGUUUACAUUUCUUCCGCAUUCGCAGCCACGAAUAUGGCGAUUUGAUCACGUCUUCUGCAGGUCGCUACGUCAUUCGAAAACCAUCUAUAAAAAAACAAUACUGUUGUUGUUUGGCUCAGAAAUGGUUUAAUAUUUUCUGCACAUAAAUCUGAUCACCAGAAAUAAUCUGCGACUUAUCUCAGUUUAAAUGUUAAACAAGACAUGUUACUGUCAGAYUGUUAAUAUGUCCAUUUGUUUUAGGGAGCAAGGAGCAGACCUCUCAUUUUAUAAAAAUGAGAGGUCAAAAUGAUCACCUCUUCACUGGGGCCAAAGAUUCAGCCACCACAGCUUGGAGGUCAAUACUGGAGAAGAUGGGCCUGCAAGGAAAGGUCACCCCCUUGCAGGCAAAAAAAGUGGGACAGUUAAAAAAAAAAAAACACAAAGUAUGUAAAUUUUUGGAGUCACAUUCAAAUAAACAUACAUUUUAUAAAGUUUUCUUUGUUACUGUUUUUGUCAACUGUAAUUUUGAUUUCCUCUGUGUUUAGGAUUGCAAGUAUCCUGUGGUUCUGAAGAUUGUUCAAACUUAUUAAUCUGUUAGUGUGUCUCUUUUAAUAAAUGAUAAAAGCAAA